rnacentral:rRNA from 1 species
UACGGAAGGCAGCAGUGGGGAAUAUUGCACAAUGGGCGCAAGCCUGAUGCAGCCAUGCCGCGUGUAUGAAGAAGGCCUUCGGGUUGUAAAGUACUUUCAGCGGGGAGGAAGGCGGUGAAGUUAAUAGCUUCACCGAUUGACGUUACCCGCAGAAGAAGCACCGGCUAACUCCGUGCCAGCAGCCGCGGUAAUACGGAGGGUGCAAGCGUUAAUCGGAAUUACUGGGCGUAAAGCGCACGCAGGCGGUCUGUCAAGUCGGAUGUGAAAUCCCCGGGCUUAACCUGGGAACUGCAUUCGAAACUGGCAGGCUAGAGUCUUGUAGAGGGGGUAGAAUUCCAGGUGUAGCGGUGAAAUGCGUAGAGAUCUGGAGGAAUACCGGUGGCGAAGGCGGCCCCUGGGCAAAGCUGACGCUCAGGUGCGAAAGCGUGGGGAGCGAAACAGGGAUUAGGAUACC